GUAGCUUGCUCCCGGAUGUUAGCGGCGGACGGGUGAGUAACACGUGGGUAACCUGCCUGUAAGACUGGGAUAACUCCGGGAAACCGGAGCUAAUACCGGAUAGUUCCUUGAACCGCAUGGUUCAAGGAUGAAAGACGGUUUCGGCUGUCACUUACAGAUGGACCCGCGGCGCAUUAGCUAGUUGGUGAGGUAACGGCUCACCAAGGCGACGAUGCGUAGCCGACCUGAGAGGGUGAUCGGCCACACUGGGACUGAGACACGGCCCAGACUCCUACGGGAGGCAGCAGUAGGGAAUCUUCCGCAAUGGACGAAAGUCUGACGGAGCAACGCCGCGUGAGUGAUGAAGGUUUUCGGAUCGUAAAGCUCUGUUGUUAGGGAAGAACAAGUGCAAGAGUAACUGCUUGCACCUUGACGGUACCUAACCAGAAAGCCACGGCUAACUACGUGCCAGCAGCCGCGGUAAUACGUAGGUGGCAAGCGUUGUCCGGAAUUAUUGGGCGUAAAGGGCUCGCAGACGGUUUCUUAAGUCUGAUGUGAAAGCCCCCGGCUCAACCGGGGAGGGUCAUUGGAAACUGGGAAACUUGAGUGCAGAAGAGGAGAGUGGAAUUCCACGUGUAGCGGUGAAAUGCGUAGAGAUGUGGAGGAACACCAGUGGCGAAGGCGACUCUCUGGUCUGUAACUGACGCUGAGGAGCGAAAGCGUGGGGAGCGAACAGGAUUAGAUACCCUGGUAGUCCACGCCGUAAACGAUGAGUGCUAAGUGUUAGGGGGUUUCCGCCCCUUAGUGCUGCAGCUAACGCAUUAAGCACUCCGCCUGGGGAGUACGGUCGCAAGACUGAAACUCAAAGGAAUUGACGGGGGCCCGCACAAGCGGUGGAGCAUGUGGUUUAAUUCGAAGCAACGCGAAGAACCUUACCAGGUCUUGACAUCCUCUGACAACCCUAGAGAUAGGGCUUUCCCUUCGGGGACAGAGUGACAGGUGGUGCAUGGUUGUCGUCAGCUCGUGUCGUGAGAUGUUGGGUUAAGUCCCGCAACGAGCGCAACCCUUGAUCUUAGUUGCCAGCAUUCAGUUGGGCACUCUAAGUGACUGCCGGUGACAAACCGGAGGAAGGUGGGGAUGACGUCAAAUCAUCAUGCCCCUUAUGACCUGGGCAC
rnacentral:rRNA from 2 species